GGAUGCGAUCAUACCAGCAC
rnacentral:ncRNA from 2 species